rnacentral:rRNA from 1 species
GACGAACGCUGGCGGCGUGCUUAACACAUGCAAGUCGAACGGUGACCCAGGGCUUGCCCUGGUGAUCAGUGGCGAACGGGUGAGUAACACGUGGGCAACCUGCCCCUGACUUCGGGAUAACUCCUCGAAAGAGGAGCUAAUACCGGAUACGACCACUUCGGACAUCCGAUGGUGGUGGAAAGUUUUUCGGUCAGGGAUGGGCCCGCGGCCUAUCAGCUAGUUGGUGGGGUAAUGGCCUACCAAGGCGACGACGGGUAGCCGGCCUGAGAGGGCGACCGGCCACACUGGGACUGAGACACGGCCCAGACUCCUACGGGAGGCAGCAGUGGGGAAUAUUGCGCAAUGGGCGAAAGCCUGACGCAGCGACGCCGCGUGAGGGAUGAAGGCCUUCGGGUUGUAAACCGUACUUUCAGCAGGGACGAAGACGAAAGUAGACGGUACCGUGCAGAAGAAGAC